rnacentral:tRNA from 1 species
GGGUUGUUAGCUCAGUUGGGAGAGCGUCAGACUGAAGUUCGCAUCGAUCAGGCCAUCUGAAGGUCCCCAGUUCGAUCCUGGGUCAGCCCU